rnacentral:rRNA from 2 species
UAAGUAUAAGCAAUUAUACGGCGAAACUGCGAAUGGCUCAUUAUAUAAGUUAUCGUUUAUUUGAUAGUACCUUACUACUUGGAUAACCGUGGUAAUUCUAGAGCUAAUACAUGCUGAAAAUCCCGACUUACGGAGGGAUGUAUUUAUUAGAUUAAAAACCAAUGCCCUCUGGGCUCUCUGGUGAUUCAUGAUAACUUCUCGAAUCGCACGGCCUUGCGCCGGCGAUGGUUCAUUCAAAUUUCUUCCCUAUCAACUUUCGAUGUUUGGGUAGUGGCCAAACAUGGUUGCAACGGGUAACGGAGGGUUAGGGCUCGACCCCGGAGAAGGAGCCUGAGAAACGGCUACUACAUCCAAGGAAGGCAGCAGGCGCGCAAAUUACCCAAUCCCGACACGGGGAGGUAGUGACAAUAAAUACUGAUACAGGGCUCUUUUGGGUCUUGUAAUUGGAAUGAGUACAAUUUAAAUCCCUUAACGAGGAACAAUUGGAGGGCAAGUCUGGUGCCAGCAGCCGCGGUAAUUCCAGCUCCAAUAGCGUAUAUUAAAGUUGUUGUGGUUAAAAAGCUCGUAGUUGAACCUUGGGCCUGGCUGGCCGGUCCGCCUCACCGCGUGCACUGGUCCGGCCGGGCCUUUCCCUCUGCGGAACCCCAUGCCCUUCACUGGGCGUGGCGGGGAAACAGGACUUUUACUUUGAAAAAAUUAGAGUGCUCCAGGCAGGCCUAUGCUCGAAUACAUUAGCAUGGAAUAAUGAAAUAGGACGUGCGGUUCUAUUUUGUUGGUUUCUAGGACCGCCGUAAUGAUUAAUAGGGACAGUCGGGGGCAUCAGUAUUCAAUUGUCAGAGGUGAAAUUCUUGGAUUUAUUGAAGACUAACUACUGCGAAAGCAUUUGCCAAGGAUGUUUUCAUUAAUCAGGAA